rfam:Pan troglodytes isolate Yerkes chimp pedigree #C0471 (Clint) chromosome 14, whole genome shotgun sequence.
UAAUGCAAGGGUCUAAAGCACAUAAAAUUGGAACAAUACAGAGAAGAUUAGGCCCCUGCACAAGCAUGACACAAAUCUGUGAAGUGUUCCAUAUUAAA